rnacentral:rRNA from 1 species
AACGAACGCUAGCGGUGUGGAUUAGGCAUGCAAGUCGCGCGCGAAAGCCUUCGGGCGAGUAAAGCGGCGAAAGGGUGAGUAACACGUAACCAACGUACCCCUCAGACUGGGAUAACCACUGGAAACGGUGGAUAAUACCGGAUGGUCCACUGGGCAGCAUUGCCUGGCUGGUAAACGGCGGCCGCAAGGCGGUUGCUGAGGGAGCGGGUUGCGGCCUAUCAGCUUGUUGGUGAGGUAACGGCUCACCAAGGCUAUGACGGGUAACAGGUCUGAGAGGAUGAUCUGUCACACUGGGACUGGGACACUGCCCAGACUCCUACGGGAGGCUGCAGUCGAGAAUCUUCCACAAUGGGCGAAAGCCUGAUGGAGCGACACCGCGUGCAGGAUGAAGGCCU